rnacentral:rRNA from 1 species
GACGAACCGUGCGAACGUUAUUCGGAAUCACUGGGCUUAAAGCGCGUGUAGGCGGGCCAUCACGUCGGUCGUUAAAAGCCCCCGGCUCAACCGGGGAACCGGCGCCGAAACGAGUGGCCUGGAGGGGGGUAGGGGGACCUGGAACUUCCGGUGGAGCGGUGAAAUGCGUUGAGAUCGGAAGGAACGCCCGUGGCGAAAGCGAGGUCCUGGACCCCAUCUGACGCUGAGACGCGAAAGCCAGGGGAGCGAACGGG